GACGGGUGAGUAACGCGUGGGCAACCUACCCAUAAGAGGGGGAUAACAGUUGGAAACGACUGCUAAUACCGCAUAAGCUAUUGAGGUCGCAUGACCUUAAUAGUAAAGGUGGCGCUUGUUUACAAGCUAUCACUUAUGGAUGGGCCCGCGUCUGAUUAGCUAGUUGGUGGGGUAGAAGCCUACCAAGGCAACGAUCAGUAGCCGGCCUGAGAGGGUGGACGGCCACACUGGGACUGAGACACGGCCCAGACUCCUACGGGAGGCAGCAGUGGGGAAUAUUGCGCAAUGGGGGAAACCCUGACGCAGCGACGCCGCGUGAGCGAUGAAGGCCUUAGGGUCGUAAAGCUCUGUUGUAAGGGACGAAUGUUUAUCUGGCCAAUAGUCAGAUAAAGUGACGGUACCUUACCAGCAAGCCCCGGCUAACUACGUGCCAGCAGCCGCGGUAAGACGUAGGGGGCGAGCGUUGUCCGGAAUUACUGGGCGUAAAGAGCACGUAGGCGGGUAAUUAAGUCAGAUGUGAAAGACCGGGGCCCAACCUCGGGGUUGCAUCUGAAACUGGAUAUCUUGAGGGCAGGAGAGGAAAGUGGAAUUCCUGGUGUAGCGGUGAAAUGCGUAGAAAUCAGGAGGAAUACCAGUGGCGAAGGCGGCCUUCUGGACUGACCCUGACGCUGAGGUGCGAAAGCGUGGGUAGCAAACAGGAUUAGAUACCCUGGUAGUCCACGCUGUAAACGAUGGAUACUAGGUGUGGGAGGUAUCGACCCCUUCCGUGCCGGAGCUAACGCAAUAAGUAUCCCGCCUGGGGAGUACGGUCGCCAAGGCUGAAACUCAAGGAAUUGACGGGGGCCCGCACAA
rnacentral:rRNA from 1 species